rnacentral:rRNA from 1 species
UACGUAGGGGGCAAGCGUUGUCCGGAUUUAUUGGGCGUAAAGAGCGUGUAGGCGGCCAGAUAGGUCCGUUGUGAAAACUGGAGGCUCAACCUCGAGACGUCGGCGGAAACCAUCUGGCUAGAGUCCGGAAGAGGAGAGUGGAAUUCCUGGUGUAGCGGUGAAAUGCGCAGAUAUCAGGAAGAACACCCGUGGCGAAGGCGGCUCUCUGGGACGGUACUGACGCUGAGACGCGAAAGCGUGGGGAGCGAACAGG